AGGACCGUGAAACGACUCUACGCCGAUGAUAGUGCGGAUUCCCGUGUGAAAGUAGGUAAUCGUCAGGC
rnacentral:rRNA from 1 species